rnacentral:rRNA from 1 species
AUGAGUGAUCUUGUAUUUAUCAAGUUCAACUCUAGGAUGAAGCAUAAGAGAGAGAACAAGAGUAGAGACCCAAUAGAGAAGACGAUCGUUGAUGUUCUUGAGGACGAGGAUAACGAGUUCAUCACCGGCAUUGUUGGAAAUGAUAAUGUUGUUGAACAUGUUGGUGAUGAAGAUCAAACUCAACAAGAGAGAGCUUCAACAUCACAAGAACAAGGGAAAAAGAAGAAGAGGCCUACUGCGCCCCCUAGAAAGAAGAGGAAGAAGAGCUUGCAAUCUCUCCUUAAUAGUGUCGAUGAGGAAGCUAUACUUUCUGCCUCUUCCAAUUCUUUUUCGUCGGAAUCAGAAGAUGAGUCUCCCUCGGCCCUUGCUGACUCGGAUUAA